UUCCAGUCUCCAUGCCUUAAACAGCAUGAGCAUCUCUCGGUGGCCACUGGAAUUCUGAAGUGAAAAUAAACUUUAGACCCAGGACAGCUACUUCAUCUGAUGUUCUGCUAAGGAAAUGGGAAUCUACUCCAGACUUGAAGGCUUUUUACAUAUCCUGUUUCUUCUUCCUGGAAGAUCCUAGGCAAAGCAUCUGUUCACCCGGCUAACACUCCUCCUCGUUCCUCAGAUGCCAGCUAAAACAUCACUUCCACCAGGAAGCCUUCCAACACCACCCAGAGUCUGUCUUGUCAUCAAGCAGCACACACGUGCAUCCCCUUACUGCACUGAUCACUCAUUUUUGUAAUGACAUUUGAUUCCUAGGAAAGAAGAACCAGUGACAGACACUAAACAACAGACAGGACUUGAGGACGGAUGGGAUGACUGUAGAGAGAAUUGUUGAACCUUCCCAUUUCCUAUUUUGUUUCCUUUUCCAUCCCCCACACUAUUUCAGGGAAAUCUGUCAUUAUUGCCUAACUCAGAUUUCAUGUCCAUCAGAAGAUAAGAUCUACUUUAUAAGCACUGUUCCUAUCAUGCCAGGCAAUUGGCAAGAAGCUACAGAGAAUGGAGCCUCUACUUGGUUUUUAUUGCAGAACAGCACAUUCCUGGAGACCAUGUCAUAAAGUGGAUCAUUGAAAAGCAAAUUACAUUUUCCCAUAGGAACAAUGUUAUAAUUAGAGGUUGUAUUCCUGAAAAAGGACUUGGCUUCAUGUAAAUAGUAGACAUGAACAAAAAUAUUUCACAAAAGCAAAGAUUCAGUAGCUAUAAAUCCAUAUAAUUGUUUAAAAUAAUAAAAUUUUCUCCAAGUAUUAUAAACCAGGCAGGAUUAGAGGGGCAUGUGUUGAUUAUUGAGGGACUCCAAUGUACCAUAAAGUGUACAUUAAAAUACAACUAUUGUGUCAUAAAUUAGAAUCUGGAACUAACUUUAAUAUAGACAUUACACACUUAAUUAACAAUGGGAAGGCAGUGCAGUACCAUGGUUAAAAUGCAGCCUUGGGUACCAGGAGAUCAAAACUGCAGGUUUGCCUUCUAGACUAGUGAGCUCUGUGAGGGCAGAGGCUACACCUGCCCAGGGUAGGGACAAUGCCUGCACACAGCAUGGUUCAAAAUAGUUUUUACAAUGAACAGCCCAGGUUUGAGUUGCCACUUUGGGCAAGUAAAUCACCUUCUCUGGGUCUAUGUCUCUUUGUUGGUAAAACAAAGAAGCUGAACUGUGAAGCCUCUGAGGUCCCUCCCAAUUCCAAAAUUCUAAGACUGCCAUUUUGUUGUCUUGGAAUUCAGAAGUUCCUGGAUGUGGUUAACUGUCACUUUGGGGAAACUCAGUGAAUAAAGCCUCCAGUAUUCACAUCCUUGUUCAGUCCCCACAAACAUUCUGGGCUUUACCAUGUGAAUGGAUUUAGCUAAUAGGACUUUACCAAGCAAGAUAAAGUAGAGGCUUAAAAAGUACUUGCACACUAGGGCUUGUUCCCGUGGAGCACUCUCAGCCCCAGGUGCCAUUCUGUGAGAAGGCCAAGCCUCAUGGGAAGGCCAAAGGGAGGAGAACCAAGGCAUUCUUGUGAACAGCCCCAGCUAAGCUCCCAACCUACUGCCAGCACCAACUGAGAGUCAUAUGAGUAAGGAUUUUAGACAUUGUAAACCAGGUGAGCCUUUAGAUGACAGCAGCCCCAGCUGACACCAUGUGGAGUAGAAGAACCUCCCAACUGAGCCUAGUCAGCCAAUAGGUAAUGAAAGGUAAUAAAAUAACUGUUUAAAAGCACUACAUCUGGGGUGGUUCAUUGUGCAGCAGUAACUAACUGAAACACUUAAAUGACUUAAAUGGUUUUCGACUUUUGCAAAAAAAUGAACUUUCCAAGGAAUACUGAAUAAAGUCUGUUUUUCUCUGUGUUAAUUUUCCUAUACCGAGAAAUAUUUAAAAUAUUUUAACUAUCUUUAAAUAGACUCAAAAUUCUGUAGUAGUGUUCAAUAAAUAUUUGUAGAAGAUAAAGAUGUUUCCUCUUCCUGAAAAAUAUUUUUCCUCUUUACCUUCUCUUGAGAAAGUAGAGUUGUUCAAAUGCACAAUCAAAUAAAG
rnacentral:lncRNA from 1 species